GCCCCCCAAACCCCAAACCCCAAACCCAUCUCCUCCUUGCUCCAAUUGCUCCCUUACCUCCCAUCUCCCGUCCCGUGUCUUCCUUCUCUGCGGCCGUUGUGGAGGCACUCGGGUCCGACGAAGCCCCAGAUGGCGGCGGAGGAUUCGAGGUUGAGGAGGCAUCCGCCACUGCUGCUCGUCUCGACGUUGAGGGUCGAUGCCGAUAAGGUACUCGAAUUUUGUCCUUCCUCUGCAUAGUAUGUCGUGGUGUCUUUUUGUUCCCUCUUGAGUUGUCCUGUGCCGCUUUAUGCAUUUUAUUGAUUAAUUUAGUGUCGGAGAUAUGCAUUGAGAAAGGAGAAUGGGUAGAAUUACUGGUAAAUCAUUGCUCAACAAAAAAUAUACGGCACGCAUUGUUAAUUUUAUUCUACAUGGGUUGAGCUAUAAUUUUAUCAAGAUAAACAGGAUGCAGCCUUACUCAAUUCUAUAUUACGGGAUUAUAAAUAUGUAUGUAGCUUGAUCUUGGAUGUA